AAAUAUUAUAAUAAUAAUUAAAGAGCAAUGCUAGGGGCAGCAAUUUUUGUGAUUGUUAGCCAUUAAUUAGUCAUCAAUGAUGAUUUGAUGGUGUGAGAUUGGUGUGAAAUUUCAUCUAAUGGCUCACCUUUCUCCGCUGAUUACAUGUUGGCCAAAAUUC